AGGUGAAGGUCAAAUUCGAAACAGGUGCACGUUAGACGACGCGACAGUUACUAACACGCGUACACGUUGAGCCGCAACAAAUAUCGAGCAAUGGAGAACUUCAAACCCUUUCCCGGAUUUGGCACUCAGGCAACUCAUGUAGGGCAGGAGCCGGAGAAAUGGAACUCGAGGGCUGUAGUUCCACCUAUCUCUAUGUCAACAACGUUUAAACAGAAGGGACCGGGAGACCACCAUGGUUUUGAAUACUCCAGGAGUGGAAACCCUACCAGGAACUGUCUGGAAGAAUGCUUAGCAGCCUUAGAAGGUGGAAAACAUGCACUGGUCUUUGCCUCUGGUUUAGCCACUACAACAGCUAUCACAUAUCUACUACAGUCUGGAGACCAUAUUGUCAGCAUGGAUGAUUUAUACGGAGGUACAAAUCGAUAUUUUAAGAAGUGUGCCACUAGGAUGGGCAUCGAAACAUCAUUCGUAGACUGCACUGUUAUUGACAAUAUAAAGAAAUCCCUGAGACCAAACACCAAGAUGGUUUGGCUGGAGACUCCAACCAACCCAACGCUGAGAAUUGUGGACAUCGCUAAGGCGGUGAAAGUCGUCAAAGAAAACAACAAAGACAUCUUUGUGGUAGUAGACAACACAUUCAUGUCCUCAUAUUUCCAGCGACCUUUAGAUUUUGGUGCGGACAUGGUUAUGCAUUCCCUUACAAAGUAUAUGAAUGGGCAUUCUGAUGCUGUGAUGGGGGCAGCAAUAUUAAAUGAUGAUGGUUUAUGCCAAAGACUCCGGUUCCUCCAAAAUGCAUUUGGAGCAGUUCCCUCCCCUUUUGACAGCUUCCUUGUGAACAGAGGUCUGAAAACUCUACACGUCAGAAUGAAGGAGCACAUGAAGAAUGGACUAGCUGUGGCCAAAUUCCUAGAAUCUCAUCCUUGUGUAGAGAAAGUUCUUCAUCCAGGUCUUCCCUCUCAUCCACAACAUGAACUGGCAAAGAAACAGAUGAGGGGUUUCAGUGGGAUGGUGACAUUUUACAUUAAAGGGGGGAUUAAAGAGGCUUCUGAAUUCCUGAAAAAUGUCAAGAUUUUCACGCUGGCAGAAAGUUUGGGUGGAUUUGAAAGUCUCUGUGAACUUCCGUCUGUGAUGACGCAUGCCUCUGUGCCUGAGGAUGAACGUGACAAGCUCGGUAUUUCGGACAAUCUCAUUCGACUCUCUGUAGGAAUCGAGGAUGAGGAGGAUCUGAUUGAGGACUUGGACCAGGCUCUGAAUGCAGCAACUGGGACCCCAUCCCAUAAAAAGAGGAAGAUUGCAGAGUAGUGAUGGCAGUAUAGAGCAGAGAAAACAGCUGGUUUGAAACACAUGCAACCUGUGAUCAUCACUGACAAUACGAAACCUUCAUCUCUGAAGCAAUGACGAGAAAGAUGAAAAGACCUUAAAGUAGAUUGAAAAACACAAGGAAUGUAAGGUGUAUUAAUUCUUAUAACUUGUACAAAUUUUUCAUAGAAGUACUGUGGCAGAAUUCAGAAUCUCAUCAAGAUGGACAGUUUUUCUACAGAAUACAUUGAUUGCUUUUUCCCUCACAAGUGCUUGUACCUACACUUUGAUAAUGAUAAUAGUAGAUAAAAAGCUUCAAAUAGAUCUCCUAUUCACUGUCAUUAUACUACAGUAUUUCCACUGGAAAGUGUGACAGAUUUGAGUUUGUGGUUUAUCUUUUGUGAAUUAUGAGAAUGAAAAUGUUCGAUGUUACAUCUUUUUCCAUUUGAUAAUGCAAUAUGUAUGGAUGGAUUUAUUUCUAUUUCUUCUUUAAAGAAGGAUUUCAGUGCUGUAUUUUUUAGUUUGAUCGUUGGAUAUUUUUAAAUAUCAGGUUUAUGAAGUACCUGUGAAUUUACACUACUGUACAGCUGAUCUCUUUGUUAUCUGAAUUGUGUAGGAGAGCAAAACUUGAAACAAGAAUCUCAAAUUAGAAAACGAUUUUAUUUUAAAUUUGCAUUUUAUCUUUGUGAUUUCUGAAACCUUUGUAGACAGUGUAUGUAUUGUAAGUGAAACAUUGUACUAUAUUGAAUCCCAGAAAGUAUUUUAUUAUAUAAUAGGUACAUGUUUGGAUUUUGAUUUGAAAUCAAUUGAUGGUAGUCCCAUGUCUUUUAGAGAGUAUUAAAUGUGGAGUUGUUUGUAUGUAAUGACAUGCAUAUACUAUAGUAUAGAUCAAUGAAAUGACUUUUCAUGAAUGGAGAAUAAAAUCAGUGAAACAAUAAUUUUUUUUUAAACAUU